rnacentral:rRNA from 1 species
GAUGAACGCUGGCGGCGUGCCUAAUACAUGCAAGUCGAGCGAAAAGACGAGGAGUUUGCUCCUCUGACGUUUGCGGCGGACGGGUGAGUAACAUGUGGAUAACCUACCUAUAAGACUGGGAUAACUUCGGGAAACCGGAGCUAACACCGGAUAAUAUAUUGAACCGCAUGGUUCAAUAGUGAAAGACGGUUUUGCUGUCACUUAUAGAUGGAUCCGCGCCGUAUUAGCUAGUUGGUAAGGUAACGGCUUACCAAGGCAACGAUGCGUAGCCGACCUGAGAGGGCGAUCGGCCACACUGGAACUGAGACACGGUCCAGACUCCUACGGGAGGCAGCAGUAGGGAAUCUUCGGCAAUGGGCGAAAGCCUGACGGAGCAACGCCGCGUGAGUGAUGAAGGUCUUCGGAUCGUAAAGCUCUGUUAUUAGGGAAGAACAAAUUUGUAAGUAACUGUGCACGUCUUGACGGUACCUAAUCAGAAAGCCACGGCUAACUACGUG